GGUAGCAGUGGUCUCAGACUUGAAUGCUGUGUCUUGGGACCAUUAUAUCUUACGCACUUCUGUGACUUAUUUAAUUCCUAAAACAUGUGAAUGAAAUAUCGUCUUCCUUAUCCUCAAGCAAUGCUGAGUGAUGGCAAUUCUCCAUCUCAAUGACAAUGCAACACAAGUCACCACUGAAGCCAAGUCCACAGAUAUGAACAUGAUCUUUAAUUUCCACAUUCUUUAAACUGAGGAAUGAAAGGU